GACGAACGCUGGCGGCGUGCUUAACACAUGCAAGUCGAACGGAAAGGCCCUGCUUUUGUGGGGUGCUCGAGUGGCGAACGGGUGAGUAACACGUGAGUAACCUGCCCUUGACUUUGGGAUAACUUCAGGAAACUGGGGCUAAUACCGGAUAGGAGCUCCUGCUGCAUGGUGGGGGUUGGAAAGUUUCGGCGGUUGGGGAUGGACUCGCGGCUUAUCAGCUUGUUGGUGGGGUAGUGGCUUACCAAGGCUUUGACGGGUAGCCGGCCUGAGAGGGUGACCGGGCACAGGGGGACGAAGAGAGGCAGCAGAGUCCAAGGGGGGACAGUGGGGGGAAGUAUGACAAAGGGGGGGGAAGUGUGAGAAGAAGGCGCGGGGGGGGGAAAGACGGCUUGGGGGUGAUAAACGGCUGUCAGUGUAGACGAGGGGGGGGUGACGGUAAGGAAAAAAGAAGCACCGGCUAACUACGUG
rnacentral:rRNA from 1 species